CCUACGGGGGGCAGCAGUGAGGAAUAUUGGUCAAUGGGCGGAAGCCUGAACCAGCCAAGUCGCGUGAGGGAAUAAGGCCCUACGGGUCGUAAACCUCUUUUGCCGGGGAGCAAGGGCGGGGACGUGUCCCGGCCCGGAGAGUACCCGGAGAAAAAGCAACGGCUAACUCCGGGCCAGAAGCCGCGGUAAUACGGAGGAUGCGAGCGUUAUCCGGAUUGUUUGGGGUUAAAGGGUGCGAAGGCGGGCUUUUAAGUCAGCGGUAAAAUUUCGGGGUUCAACCCCGUACGGCCGUUGAAACUGGGUGCCUUGAGUGGGCGAGAAGUAGGCGGAAUGCGUGGUGUAGCGGUGAAAUGCAUAGAUAUCACGCAGAACCCCGAUUGCGAAGGCAGCCUUCCGGCGCCCUACUGACGCUGAGGCACGAAAGUGCGGGGAUCGAACAGGAUUAGAUACCCCAGUAGUC
rnacentral:rRNA from 1 species